rnacentral:rRNA from 1 species
UACGGGGGAGCAAGCGUUGUUCGGAUUUACUGGGCGUAAAGGGCGCGUAGGCGGCCACCGCAAGUCGACUGUGAAAUCUCCGGGCUUAACUCGGAAAGGUCAGCCGAUACUGCGGGCUAGAGUGCAGAAGGGCAACUGGAAUUCUCGGUGUAGCGGUGAAAUGCGUAGAUAUCGAGAGGAACACCUGCGGCGAAGGCGGUUGCUGGCUGACACUGACGCUGAGGCGCGAAGCUAGGGAGCGAACGGG